GAUGAACGCUGGCGGCGUGCCUAACACAUGCAAGUCGAGCGAACGGACGAGAAGCUUGCUUCUCUGAUGUUAGCGGCGGACGGGUGAGUAACACGUGGAUAACCUACCUAUAAGACUGGGAUAACUUCGGGAAACCGGAGCUAAUACCGGAUAAUAUUUUGAACCGCAUGGUUCAAAAGUGAAAGACGGUCUUGCUGUCACUUAUAGAUGGAUCCGCGCUGCAUUAGCUAGUUGGUAAGGUAACGGCUUACCAAGGCAACGAUGCAUAGCCGACCUGAGAGGGUGAUCGGCCAUACUGGAACUGAGACACGGUCCAGACUCCUACGGGAGGCAGCAGUAGGGAAUCUUCCGCAAUGGGCGAAAGCCUGACGGAGCAACGCCGCGUGAGUGAUGAAGGUCUUCGGAUCGUAAAACUCUGUUAUUAGGGAAGAACAUAUGUGUAAGUAACUGUGCACAUCUUGACGGUACCUAAUCAGAAAGCCACGGCUAACUACGUG
rnacentral:rRNA from 1 species